rnacentral:rRNA from 1 species
UACAGAGGUCUCAAGCGUUGUUCGGAUUCAUUGGGCGUAAAGGGUGCGUAGGCGGCGCGGUAAGUCGGGUGUGAAAUCUCGGAGCUUAACUCCGAAACUGCAUUCGAUACUGCCGUGCUUGAGGACUGGAGAGGAGACUGGAAUUUACGGUGUAGCGGUGAAAAUGCGUAGAUAUCGUAAGGAACACCAGUGGCGAAGGCGACUCACUGGCCCGAUACUGACGCUGGAGGCGCGAAAGCGUGGGGGAGCAAACAGG